rnacentral:rRNA from 1 species
AGAGUUUGAUCCUGGCUCAGGAUGAACGCUGGCGGCGUGCUUAACACAUGCAAGUCGAACGGAGCUUAAUUGGAAAGCUUGCUUUUCGUUUAAGCUUAGUGGCGGACGGGUGAGUAACGCGUGAGCAACCUGCCCCGAAGUGGGGAAUAACACCGAGAAAUCGGUGCUAAUACCGCAUAAUGUCGGAGGACCGCAUGAUCCACCGACCAAAGGAUUUAUUCGCUUCGGGAUGGGCUCGCGUCCGAUUAGGCAGUUGGCGGGGUAACGGCCCACCAAACCGACGAUCGGUAGCCGAACUGAGAGGUUGAUCGGCCACAUUGGGACUGAGACACGGCCCAGACUCCUACGGGAGGCAGCAGUGGGGAAUAUUGGGCAAUGGGCGAAAGCCUGACCCAGCAACGCCGCGUGAAGGAUGAAGGUCUUCGGAUUGUAAACUUCUUUUAUGAGGGACGAAGGAAUUGACGGUACCUCAUGAAUAAGCCACGGCUAACUACGUGCCAGCAGCCGCGGUAAUACGUAGGUGGCAAGCGUUAUCCGGAUUUACUGGGUGUAAAGGGCGCGUAGGCGGGAGAGCAAGUCAGGUGUGAAAUCCAUGGGCCUAACCCAUGAACUGCACUUGAAACUGUUUUUCUUGAGUGCUGGAGAGGUAGACGGAAUUCCUUGUGUAGCGGUGAAAUGCGUAGAUAUAAGGAAGAACACCAGUGGCGAAGGCGGUCUACUGGACAGUAACUGACGCUGAGGCGCGAAAGCGUGGGGAGCAAACAGGAUUAGAUACCCUGGUAGUCCACGCUGUAAACGAUGAAUACUAGGUGUGGGGGGACUGACCCCCUCCGUGCCGCAGUUAACACAAUAAGUAUUCCACCUGGGGAGUACGACCGCAAGGUUGAAACUCAAAGGAAUUGACGGGGGCCCGCACAAGCAGUGGAUUAUGUGGUUUAA